rnacentral:lncRNA from 1 species
GCACACUGGACACUGAGAGCCUGGGACUCUCGAACAGCUAAUUCAUCGGACCGUCGUGAAAGUAUCCUAUUAUCUUUAGGAGUGAUAAGGUUCCUAGCUACAACCGUAGCCGUUGCUGCAUCCCUCAUUACAGAGUCUUCAACUGUAAGAGGGCCAUUAGAAGAUGAGAAGGACGGGCGCCAUAUAUUACCCUGACGCGGUGCACCUGCGUCACUGCUGAGACUCAAAUCUAAACAAAUGUUAGAUGGGUUAGCCAUUUCCAAAAAGAUGGUAAAAG